rnacentral:rRNA from 1 species
CCUUGACAUACUAAGAACUUUCCAGAGAUGGAUUGGUGCCUUCGGGAACUUAGAUACAGGUGCUGCAUGGCUGUCGUCAGCUCGUGUCGUGAGAUGUUGGGUUAAGUCCCGNAACGAGCGCAACCCUUUUCCUUAUUUGCCAGCGGGUCAUGCCGGGAACUUUAAGGAUACUGCCAGUGACAAACUGGAGGAAGGCGGGACGACGUCAAGUCAUCAUGGCCCUUACGGCCAGGGCUACACACGUGCUACAAUGGUCGGUACAAAGGGUUGCUACCUCGCGAGAGGAUGCUAAUCUCAAAAAGCCGAUCGUAGUCCGGAUCGCAGUCUGCAACUCGACUGCGUGAAGUCGGAAUCGCUAGUAAUCGCGGAUCAGAAUGCCGCGGUGAAUACGUUCCCGGGCCUUGUACACACCGCCCGUCACACCAUGGGAGUUUGUUGCACCAGAAGUAGGUAGUCUAACCGCAAGGAGGACGCUUACCACGGUGUGGCCGAUGACUGGGGUGAAGUCGUAACAAGGUAGGCGUAGAUGA